UACGGAGGGUGCAAGCGUUAUCCGGAUUCACUGGGUUUAAAGGGUGCGUAGGCGGGCUUGUAAGUCAGUGGUGAAAUCCCAGAGCUUAACUCUGGAACUGCCAUUGAUACUGCAAGUCUUGAAUAUCCUAGAGGUGGGCGGAAUACAUCAUGUAGCGGUGAAAUGCUUAGAUAUGAUGUAGAACACCGAUUGCGAAGGCAGCUCACUAUGGGAUGUUUGACGCUGAGGCACGAAAGCGUGGGGAUCAAACAGG
rnacentral:rRNA from 1 species